AUUGCAGGUUUUAGGCGAUAAUAUGACUGUAGUCAAUUAUGGGUGUUCAUAUUUCAGAGUCUCCAGGAAUUAGGCGAGGGGGAAAGAUCAUCUCUAAGUAGUUUUUGGGUCGUGCACUACCCGCAAAUAUUACACAUAAAAAGUUGUAUUUUCUGAUUUCGUCAUGACUUCCAUCAAUAUGA